AGGGUAUAUAUGUGCACAUUUUAUUUAGGUAGAUAGUUCCAAAUGAUGCUUAUCUAUAGCUAUUAUUUGCAGAUUAAAAAUUAUUGACUAUAGUUGAACAUGUUUUCAUAUGUUUAAAAAUUACUUUUAUAUAAAAACUGUUCAUAUCCUUUGUCCAUAAAUGGAGUUAGGACAACUUAGUAGCCAUCUGGAAAAGAAAAUAAAAUUGUAUUUCUACUCUCUUUCCAACACAAAAAUAAACUCCAGAUGGACUAAAGAUUUAGGCUAAAAAUAAGUACAUUAAAGUACUAUUAGAAAACAUGAGAGGAUAUUUUUUGUAAGUCAUCCAGAACUAAGGAAAAUCUCUGUAAGCAAAAUACAAAACCUACAAUCCAUGAUGCUCUAAGUGUGCUUUAAUGACUAUCUCAAUAUAAAUAUUGAAAAAAUUAAUGACAAAUUUAGAUGAAUGACAAUGACAUAUUUGAUAAGAGUUGAUUGCUUUAAAUGGAUUGUAGCAGACACCCAUUUAGGACUAGUCUGCAGAAAGUUGAGGGACUCAUACUCUCAUUCAACAAGCAAAAUACUCUGGAUAAGUUACAAAAUCCUUCUUUAUUUAAAACCCAUCAGAGGACUAAGAACACAAAGAAGCCAAAAUAAAAUUAAUUCUAUAAUGCAAAAAUCCCUUCAGAAUUACAAUAGCCCUACAGCUGUUCUCAUCCCUCCUGGAGCUGCAGGAGGAAAGAAGAAGCCAUAGUUGGGGCAUGGAGGACCCAAUUUAACCCUUAGUGUGCCUGUGUGGUCUGGAUUGCCAGAUUAAAAUCCAAAGAGCUUCAACACAUGGCCAGCCCACCCCAAUGAUCCAAAGAGCCAUCACUUACCUCCCAAGCCUCCACUGACUGAUUGAUUGUUCAGAGGUGAUUCACAAAAAGCUAUGACACCUUAGGUGUGCUCAGAGUUUUCUUGCUGAUCACAAGAAAUGAGAGAAAACUUCCAAGACUUGUAAUAGUUCCCAGAGAAUGAGGCAACCACCUCACACACACCAACAUGUAAGUCUCAGUGAAUAACAUUUGUAUCAUUUUGCUUUUUUUCUGAACUUUAUGAAGAAUAUUCAUUCUGUAGGAAUUCCUCUAAACUUUCAUUUUUCAUUUAAACUAUAUUGACAAUCAUUAAUAAUACUAAGUGUCACUGUCUCUUUUUGUUUUGAAAAUUUGGUCUGGCUACAAUUCCUUUUUUCUUACAGGAAGUCAAGGUUUUUCUCCAUGGCUUUAUCUAGUAACACUGCAUUGUUUCCAGGGGACCAAGAGUUAUGGUAAGCAUUCUUGUAUGCGUCUUCCUGUAGAUAGGUGCUAAAGUUUCUAUUGUGCAUAUACAUAGGUGAGAAAAUGCAAAAAUCCUACUUUAUAAGACUAGGCCAAAUUAUUUCCUAAAUGAGUUAUACCAUUAUAUACAGCAACAGAAAAAUAUAAGAGGUCAUAUUGAACCCUAUACUUUCUGACUUUUGGUAUUAUCAAGAAUUCUAAUUCUGGGGCUGGGGAUGUAGCUCAGUGGUAGAACACUUUCCCACAAUACAUGAGGUUCCCAGCUCCAAACAAAACCCAAAACAAAACCAAAACAAACAAACAAUAAAAACAAGAAUUAUUCUUCACAAGAGAUAAAAACAAACAACAACGACAACAACAAAAACCCUUACA
rnacentral:lncRNA from 1 species